rnacentral:rRNA from 1 species
GACGAACGCUGGCGGCGUGCUUAACACAUGCAAGUCGAACGGAAAGGCCCUGCUUUUGUGGGGUGCUCGAGUGGCGAACGGGUGAGUAACACGUGAGUAACCUGCCCUUGACUUUGGGAUAACUUCAGGAAACUGGGGCUAAUACCGGAUAGGAGCUCCUGCUGCAUGGUGGGGGUUGGAAAGUUUCGGCGGUUGGGGAUGGACUCGCGGCUUAUCAGCUUGUUGGUGGGGUAGUGGCUUACCAAGGCUUUGACGGGUAGCCGGCCUGAGAGGGUGACCGGCCACAUGGGGACUGGGAUACGGCCCAGACUCCUACGGGAGGCAGCAGUGGGAAUAUUGCACAAUGGGCGGAAGCCUGAUGCAGCAACGCCGCGUGCGGGAUGACGGCCUUCGGGUUGUAAACCGCUUUCGCCUGUGACGAAGCGUGAGUGACGGUAAUGGGUAAAGAAGCACCGGCUAACUACGUG